rnacentral:tRNA from 1 species
GUGAGCAUAGCUCAAAUGGUUAGAGCACCAGACUGUGGCUCUGGGGGUUGAGGGUUCGACUCCCUCUGCUCACCCCA